AUGGACUUACGACUGACUUAUGUUUUUAUUGUUGCUAUUUUAAAAGGUGUCUUGUGUGAGGUGAAACUGGAGGAAUCUGGGGGAGGUUUGGUGCAACCUGGAGUGUCCAUGAAACUCUCUUGUGCAACAUCUGGAUUCACUUUCAGUAACUACUGGAUGGAAUGGGUUCGACAGUCUCCAGGGAAGGGGCUAGAAUGGGUAGCCGAAAUUAGAACCAAAGCUAAUAAUUAUGCAACAUACUAUGGGGAGUCUGUGAAAGGCAGAUUCACCAUCUCAAGAGAUGAUUCCAAAAGUAUGGUCUACCUGCAAAUGAACAGCAUAAGAUCUGAAGAUACCGGCAUUUAUUACUGUACAAGGCACAGUAAGAACCGUUCCUUGUGA